rnacentral:rRNA from 2 species
GCAUAUCAAUAAGCGGAGGAAAAGAAACCAACAGGGAUUGCCCCAGUAACGGCGAGUGAAGCGGCAACAGCUCAAAUUUGAAAUCUGGCUCUCGGGCCCGAGUUGUAAUUUGUAGAGGAUGCUUUUGGUGAGGUGCCUUCCGAGUUCCCUGGAACGGGACGCCAUAGAGGGUGAGAGCCCCGUCUGGUUGGACACCGAUCCUCUGUAAAGCUCCUUCGACGAGUCGAGUAGUUUGGGAAUGCUGCUCUAAAUGGGAGGUAUAUGUCUUCUAAAGCUAAAUACCGGCCAGAGACCGAUAGCGCACAAGUAGAGUGAUCGAAAGAUGAAAAGAACUUUGAAAAGAGAGUUAAACAGUACGUGAAAUUGUUGAAAGGGAAGCGCUUGUGACCAGACUUGGGCUUGGUUGAUCAUCCGGGGUUCUCCCCGGUGCACUCUUCCGGCUCAGGCCAGCAUCAGUUCGCCCUGGGGGAUAAAGGCUUCGGGAAUGUGGCUCUCUCCGGGGAGUGUUAUAGCCCGCUGCGUAAUACCCUGUGGCGGACUGAGGUUCGCGCAUUCGCAAGGAUGCUGGCGUAAUGGUCAUCAGUGACCCGUCUUGAAACACGGACCAAGGAGUCGUCUUCGUAUGCGAGUGUUCGGGUGUCAAACCCCUACGCGAAAUGAAAGUGAACGCAGGUGAGAGCUUCGGCGCAUCAUCGACCGAUCCUGAUGUUAUCGGAUGGAUUUGAGUAAGAGCAUACGGGGCCGGACCCGAAAGAAGGUGAACUAUGCCUGUGUAGGGUGAAGCCAGAGGAAACUCUGGUGGAGGCUCGCAGCGGUUCUGACGUGCAAAUCGAUCGUCAAACAUGGGCAUGGGGGCGAAAGACUAAUCGAACCUUCUAGUAGCUGGUUUCCGCCGAAGUU